CCAGAGCCAUUAUGAACAGUGGGGGGAACUGAGGGGGAAGGUGUGUGUGGAAGGUUACGAGGACAAGGUCAUGUCUUUACAGUGUGUCCGGGAUCACACUUUUGGUACUCGUGACUGGAGAGAUAUCCAUAGAUAUAUCAUCAUGUUUAUUUAUGUCGAGACAGGGAUGACCAUUCAGGUGGGGAUAGUUUCCCAGCCCAAUUUGAUGGCACA